rnacentral:rRNA from 1 species
GCUUAUCACCAUUCCAGAUUGAACAGACCCGAUCUCGUCUGCUCUCGGAAGUCAAGCAAUCUCGGGCUUGGUUAGGACUUAGAUGGGUGACC